rnacentral:rRNA from 1 species
CCUACGGGUGGCAGCAGUAGGGAAUCUUCCACAAUGGGCGAAAGCCUGAUGGAGCAACGCCGCGUGGGUGAAGAAGGUCUUCGGAUCGUAAAACCCUGUUGUUAGAGAAGAAAGAGCGGGAGAGGAACUGUUCACGUUUCGACGGUAUCUAACCAGAAAGCCACGGCUAACUACGUGACAGCAGCGGCGGGAAUACGGAGGUGGCAAGCGUGAUCCGGAUUUAUUGGGCGUAAAGGGAGCGCAGGCGGUAGUUUAAGUCUGAUGUGAAAGCCUUCGGCUUAACCGGAGUAGUGCAUUGGAAACUGGGAGACUUGAGUGCAGAAGAGGAGAGUGGAACUCCAUGUGUAGCGGUGAAAUGCGUAGAUAUAUGGAAGAACACCAGUGGCGAAAGCGGCUCUCUGGUCUGUAACUGACGCUGAGGUUCGAAAGCGUGGGUAGCAAACAGGAUUAUAUACCCUUGUAGUC